AGAUCGAGGCUCUGAAACUCUUCUCUCAGGCUGAACUGGUUUCCUGGUUCCUGGAACACAGAAACAGCAGCAGAAAACUCAGCGUCCACGUGGUUGGUUUCGGCGUGGAGGAGAACGACCCUUCAGACCAGAGCGUCCUCUGCCCCUCAGACGGCGCCAACAACCCCCCGUUGUCUGCGUACGGCGAAGACAGCGAGCUGAGCUUCCUGCCGGCCUGGACGCCGCAGCUGCAGGACGCUGCGCUCAUCACUGACAUCAGAGCCUUCACAGCAUCGCUGCCGCUCCACCCCUACCACAAGAUCCUGCACUAGGUCGGCGUCAGCGGAGCCCCGCCUCCGUCUGGGAUGCUGCUGUAACUGUGGCGACCGCUGGCAACAACAUCCACACUGUGUGAUCAGAGAAGAGGCAAUGUUUUGUUUUGGGGUUUUUUUGUGACACUGCAUUCACAACCUGCGGG